CAGGGAACCGGGGGCUCAACAGCGCGGCGUCCAGUCACGGUCGCCACAACGUCGCGCUGUGCCAAUGGCGAGACCGACCCUCGG
rnacentral:ncRNA from 1 species